AUGAGCUUCACCACCAGCUCCACCUUUUCCACAAACUACCGGUCCGUGGGCUCCGUCCAGGUGCCCAGCUACGGUGCCCAGCCGGUCAGCAGCACGGCCAGCGUCUAUGCAGGCGCCGGGGGGCUCUGGUUCCCGCAUCGCCGUGUCCCGCUCCACCAGCUUCUGGGGUGGCCUGGGGGCUGGGGGCCUGGCCUCGGGGAUGGCCAGAGGUCUGGCAGGAACGGGAGGCAUAUAGAACGAGAAGGAGACCGUGCAACCUGGACACAUACCUGGACAGAGUGAGGAGCCUGGAGACCGAGAACCGGAAGCUGGAGAGCAAAACCCAGGAGAACCUAGAGAAGAAGGGACCUCAGGUCAGAGACUGGAGCCAUUACUUCAAGACCAUGGAGGACCUGAGGGCUCAGAUCUUUGCAAAUACUGUGGACAACGCCUGCAUCGUUUUGCAGAUCCACAAUGCGUGUCUUGCUGUUGAUGACUUUAGAGUCAAGUACGAGACAGAGCUGGCCAUGCGCCCGUCCGUGGAGAGCCACAUCCACGGGCUCCACAAGGCCAUCGAUGUGGAGGCCCUGCUGAACACCAAUGUCACUGGGCUGCAGCUGGAGACAGAUCGAGGCUGUCAAGGAGGAGCUGCUCUUCCAGAAGAAGAACAAUGAAAGGAAGUAAAAGGCCUACAAGCCCAGAUUGCCAGCUCUAGGUUGACCGUGGAGGUAGAUGCCCCCAAAUCUCAGGGCCUCACCAAGGUCAUGGCAGACAUCUGGGCUCAAUAUGACAAGCUGGCUCGGAAGAACCAAGAGGAGCUGGACAAGUACUGGUCUCAGCAGACUGAGGAGAGCACCACAGUGGUCACCACACAGUCUGCUGAGGUUGGAGCUGCUAAGACGACAGAGCUGAGACAUAUGGUCCAGUCCUUGGAGAUCAACCUGGACUCCAAGAAAAAUAUGAAGAUCAGCUUGGAGAACUGCCUGAGGGAGGUGGAGGCCCGCUAUGCUCUGCAGAUGGAGCAGCUCAACGGGAUCCUGCUGCACUUGGAGUCAGAGCUGGCACAGACCCAGGCAGAGGGACAGUGCCAGGCCCAGGAGUACCAGGCCCUGCUGAACAUCAAAGUCAAGCUGGAGGCUGAGAUCGCCACCUACCUCCGUCUGCUGCAAGAUGGCGAGUACUUCAGUCUCGGUGAUGCCCUGGACAGCAGGAACUCCAUGCAAACCGUCCAAAAGACCACCACCCACUGGAUAGUGGAUGGCAAAGUGGUGUCUGAGACCAAGGACACCAAAGUUCUGAGACAUUAGGCCAGCAGAAGCAGGGGACC